rnacentral:pre_miRNA from 1 species
CUCUGACUGACACUCUUUCCCUGUUGCACUACUGUGGGGGUGCAGGAGCAGUGCAACCAUGAAAGGGCAUCAGUCGACGG